rnacentral:rRNA from 1 species
GACGAACGCUGGCGGCGUGCCUAACACAUGCAAGUCGAGCGAGGUCCAUCCGGUGGCAACACCGGUGAAGACCUAGCGGCGAACGGGUGAGUAACACGUGAGAAACCUGCCCCGAAGACCGGGAUAACCCGAGGAAACUCGAGCUAAUACCGGAUAUCCCCACCGGACCGCAUGAUCUGGUGAGGAAAGCCCCGACGCUUCGGGAGGGUCUCGCGGCCUAUCAGGUAGUUGGUGAGGUAACGGCUCACCAAGCCGACGACGGGUAGCUGGUCUGAGAGGACGAUCAGCCACACUGGGACUGAGACACGGCCCAGACUCCUACGGGAGGCAGCAGUGGGGAAUCUUGCGCAAUGGGCGAAAGCCUGACGCAGCAACGCCGCGUGGGGGAUGAAGGCUCUCGGGUUGUAAACCCCUUUCAGGAGGGACGAAAAUGACGGUACCUCCAGAAGAAGCCCCGGCCAACUACGUGCCAGCAGCCGCCGUAAGAC